rnacentral:lncRNA from 1 species
AAACUUAAAAGCUAAGUUCUAUAAUUGGACCAGGUGAUAGGGGUUUCGAGCCCACUAAGUGAAUGAGAUUGGGUUCGGCUUGGGCCCGUUUCGAAUUUAAGAAUUUUAAUUAAAUAUAAAUGGACGAAAAUUAAUUAAAAAUUAAAAGUAUUGAUUUUUACAAAAAAAUUCUAACCUAAUGAUUAAUCAUCCCCCACGUGUCAACACCACACCCCUGCCUGGCAUCGUCAUCAUCAUUUUCAUUCCUAUAAAUAGGACUUCUAAAACCACCAAUGCACUCCCCUACACCUCUCUACCCUUGCCAAAAAAUCAAGAGAACAAAAAAAAAGCAAUAAGUUAGUAGUAGAGUAAGCACGUGAUAAAUAGUUUGGGUUUCACGUACAUAAGUACUUGAGUUUUGAAACCCUGUGUUUUAAAGUUCAACUAUUCUUGUAUACGAGGAACCUAGUUUCAUAGGUUUCCACAUAUCUAAUAACUAUAUAUUUAACUUUUACUUAUCUAUGUGUGCUAACACUAACUCUUAACACUACUAAGUAAUGUUCCUAUUUCAUCUUUCACUUCCUAAGCAUUGUAUUCUCAUACAGUCAAUCAUCAUUUAUGUUUAAUAAUUUUAUGUCAGUUAUCAUGUUUAUGUGUUCAGUGAACUUGCGAGCGUUGCAUGGAUCGAACCUCGUGGUUCGAUCGGAUCGUCUAGGGAUGGGUUUCAUAACGGGUAUUAGAGCCUGGUUAUUCUCAACUGUUUGAUCGAAGUUUAUGGUACUGAGGCGUCAUGAACCUCAAAGUGACCACUAUUUUCGGGAGCUUAGUGUAGUAACCAAAGUUUUUCUGGGUUCUCAAAUUUUUUGUCAUUUUCAUAGCUCGAUUUUUUCUUCGAAUUUUUGACCUUUUUCAUUAAUUAGAAUACACACUUCUAAACUCUUACCGAAUUGUCUAAAUUAUGAAUUAAUGGUCACAAGCAAAGAUGCUAUACCGAACCUAGAUAUUAAGCGUUGGUCAGAUUAACGGGUUGACAUGAUAUUUCAAACUCAAAAGCUAAGUUCUAUAAUUGGACCAGAUGAUAGGGGUUUCGAGCCCACUAAGUGUAUGAGAUUGGGGUCGGCUUGGGCCUGUUUCGAAUUUUAGAAUUUUAAUUAAAAAUAAAUGGACGAAAAUUAAUAAAAAAUUAAAAGUAUAUAUUUUUACAAAAAAAUUCUAACCUAAUGAUUAAUCAUCCCCCACGUGUCAACACCACACCCCUACCUUCCAUCGUCAUCAUCAUCAUCAUCAUCUUCAUUCCUAUAAAUAGGACUUCUAAAACCAAUAAUCACGGAACAAAAAAAACACUCCUAAAGUCCCCAACACAAACUUCAGUCACUAACUCUAAUCUCAAACUCUCCAACCCUCGAUAUCCCCUAAAGUUUUUCAAACUCCAAAAGUCAUUGACAUUCUCAAAGAGCUCUCUUUCAUUCCUCUCUUCAUUCUUCACCAAUGCACUGCCCUACACCUCUCUACCCUUGCCAAAGAACCAAAAGAACAAAAAAGAAAUAAGUUAGUAGUAAAGUAAGCACAUCAUAAAUAAUUUGGGUUUCACGUACAUAAGUACUUGAGUUUUGAAACCCUGUGUUUUAAAGUUCAACUAUUCUUGUAUACGAGGAAUCUAGUUUCAUAGGUUUCUACAUAUCUAAUAACUAUAUAUUUAACUUUUAUUUAUCUAUGUGUGCUAACACUAACUCUUAACACUACUAAGUAAUGUUCCUAUUUCAUCUUUCACUUCCUAAGCAUUGUAUUCUCAUACAGUCAAUCAUCAUUUAUGUUUAAUAAUUGUAUGUCAGUUAUAAUGUUUAUGUGUUGAGUGAGCUUGCGAGCAUUGUAUGGAUCGAAGCACGUGGUUCGAUUGGGUCGUCUAGGGGUGGGUUUCACAACAGACAUUAGAGAAUGGAUAUUAGAGCCUGAUUAUUCUCUAUUGUUUGAUCGAGGUUAUUGGUACUGAGGCGUCAUGAACCUCAAAGUGACCACUAUUUUAGGGUGCUUAGUGUAGUAACCAACGUUUUUCCGGGUUCUCAAUUUUUUUGUCAUUUUCGUAGCUCGAUUUUUUCUUCGAAUUUUUGACCUUUUUCAUUAAUUUGAAUACACACUUCUAAACUCUUACCGAAUUGUCUAAAUUAUGAAUUAACGGUCACAAGCAAAGAUGCUAUACCAAACCUAAAUAUUAAGCGUUGGUCAGAUUAACGGGUUGACAUGAUAUUUCAAACUUAAAAGCUAAGUUCUAUAAUUGGACUAGGUGAUAGGGGUUUCGAGCCCACCAAGUGAAUGAGAUUGGGUUUGGCUUGGGCCCGUUUCGAAUUUCAGAAUUUUAAUUAAAAAUAAAUGGACGAAAAUUAAUUAAAAAUUAAAAGUAUUGAUUUUUACAAAAAAAUUCUAACCUAAUGAUUAAUCAUCCUCACCAAUGCGCUGCCCUACACCUCUCUACCCUUGCCAAAAAACCAAGAGAACAAAAAAAAAGCAAUAAGUUAGUAGUAGAGUAAGCACAUGAUAAAUAGUUUGGGUUUCACGUACAUAAGUACUUGAGUUUUGAAACCCUUUGUUUUAAAGUUCAACUAUUCUUGUAUACGAGGAACCUAGUUUCAUAGGUUUCCACAUAUCUAAUAACUAUAUAUUUAACUUUUACUUAUCUAUGUGUGCUAUUUACUUAUCUACGUGUGCUAACACUGACUCUUAACACUACUAAGUAAUGUUCCUAUUUCAUCUUUCACUUCCUAAACAUUAUAUUCUCAUAAAGUCAAUCAUCAUUUAUGUUCAAUAAUUGUAUGUCAGUUAUCAUGUUUAUGUGUUGAGUGAACUUGCGAGCGUUGCAAGGAUCGAACCACGUGGUUCGGUCGGAUCGUCUAGGGAUGGGUUUCACAAUGGGUGUUAGAGCCUCGUUAUUCUCAACUGUUUGAUCGAAGUUAUUGGUACCGAGGCGUCAUGAGUCUCAAAGUGACCACUAUUUUCGUGAGCUUAGUGUGAUAACCAAAUUUUGUUCGGGUUCUCGAAUUUUUCGUCAUUUUCGUAGCUCGAUUUUUUCUUCGAAUUUUGGACCUAUUUUAUUAAUUAGAAUACACACUUCUAAACUCUUACCGAAUUGUCUAAAUUAUGAAUUAACGGUCAUAAGCAAAGAUGCUAUGCCGUACCUAAAUAUUAAGCGUUGGUCAGAUUAACGGGUUGACAUCAUAUUUCAAACUUAAAAGCUAAGUUCUAUAAUUGGGCCAGUUGAUAGGGGUUUCGAGCCCACUAAGUGUAUGCGAUUGGGUUCGGCUUGGGCCCGUUUCGAAUUUCAGAAUUUUAGUUAAAAAUAAAUGGACAAAAAUUCAUUAAAAAUUAAAAGUAUUUAUUUUUACUAAAAAUAUUCUAACCUAAUGAUUAAUCAUCCCCCACGUGUCAACACCACACCCCUACCUUGCAUCGUCAUCAUCAUCUUCAUUCCUAUAAAUAGGACUUCUAACAACAACAAUUAUGGGGAAAAAACACUCCUAAAGUCCCUAAGACAAAAUUCAGUCACUAACUCUAGUCUCAAACUCUCCAACCCCUCGAUAUCCUCUAAAGUUUUUCAAACUCCAAAAAUCUAUGAUAUUCUCAAAAAGCUCUCUUUCAUUCCUCUCUUCUUCUCUUACGAAUGCACUGCCCUACACCUCUCUACCCUGGCAAAAGAACCAAAAAAAACAAAAAGAAGCAAUAAGUUAAUAGUAGAGUAAGCACAUCAUAAACAUUUUGGGUAUCACUUACAUAAAUACAUGAGUUUUGAAACCCUGUGUUUCGAAGUUCAACUAUUCUUGUAUACGAGGAACCUAGUUUCAUAGGGUUCCACAAAUCUAAUGACUAUAUAUGUAACUUUUACUUAUCUAUGUGUGCUAACUCUAACUCUUAACAUUACUAAGUAAUGUUCCUAUAUCAUCUUUCACUUCCUAAGCAUGGUAUUCUCAUACAGUCAAUCAUCACUUAUGUUCAAUAAUUGGAUGUCAGUUAUCAUGUUUAUGUGUUCAGUGAACUUGUGAGCAUUGCAUGGAUCGAACCACGUGGUUCGAUCGGGUCGUCUAGGGGUGGGUUUCACAACGGGUAUUAGAGGCUGGUUAUUCUCUACUAUUUGAUCAAGGUUAUUGGUACCGAGGCGUCAUGAACCUCAAAGUGACCACUAUUUUCGGCAGCUUAGUGUAGUAACCAAAUUUUUUCCGGGUUCUCAAAUUUUUUGUCAGUUUCGUAGCUCGAUUUUUUCUUCGAAUUUUUGACCUUUUUCAUUAAUUAGAAUACACACUUCUAAACUCUCACCGAAUUGUCGAAAUUAUGAACUAACGGUCAUAAGCAAAGAUGCUAUGCCGAACCUAAAUAUUAAGCGUUGGUCAGAUUAACGGGUUGACAUGAUUUUUCAAACGUAAAAGCUAAGUUAUAUAAUUGGACCAGGUGAUAGGGGUUUCGAGCCCAGUAAGUGAAUGACAUAGGGUUCGGCUUGGGCCCGUUUCGAAUUUCAGAAUUUUAAUUAAAUAUAAAUGGACGAAAAUUAAUUAAAAAUUAAAAGUAUUGAUUUUUACAAAAAAAUUCUAACCUAAUGAUUAAUCAUCCCCCACGUGUCAACACCACACCCCUGCCUGGCAUCGUCAUCAUCAUUUUCAUUCCUAUAAAUAGGACUUCUAAAAGCAACAAUCAUGGAACAAAAAAAAGCACUCCUAAAGUCCCCAAGACAAAAUUCAGUCACUAACUCUAAUCUCAAACUCUCCAACCCUUGAUAUCCCUUAAUGCUUUUCAAACUCCAAAAAUCUUUGACAUUCUCAAAAAGCUCUC